UUAUUCCCAAAGGACACAGUGACUAUUAUGUUGGGCCUCAAAAACUGAAAGCACUAAAAAUUACUCUUUGGAGUUUACUACCAGAAUCCAGCGUCUUGACAGACCAAAUCGGACUGGAAUGGGAUCCUUCAAGAGCAUGGACUUUGUACCGGAUGGCCUCUAAGUGUCCUGCUGACCCCGGAAAUCACCAUUUAUGACUGAUGAGGAGGUGAUGACGUGUGUUUCUGCUCAGAGUUUCAGGUGGUGAAAAAAUAGGCUAUUUCAUAAGGACCUCUGUGACUUCCUGAACAUUCUCUUUUCAUUGAGGAAGUGACCCUAACUGGAGGACAGCAUCUCCCAUGGCAGCAGGAGGAGAGAAGGCAGGUGAGUAAUGAGGUGACCCCUUAUUCUCCUGAGUGCACAAGGGUUCUGUCGCCAUGAAUCACAAUAGAUUUCC